GUUAAGACUUUCUUUAUGGAACCAAGUCCAUUAGUUGCUUCUUUAAUUGGUUUGAAUGGCCAUAUAAUUUUGAAUUGGUUUGGAGUGACUUGGUCAGCGUGGGACUGUAUUAAGUUGCUGGGUUUGGAAUGGCUGGGAAGGUGGUAGUGGAAUACUGGAAUUGGGUUCAAGAGGUGGCAACCGUGGCAUCUUCAUUUUGGAGGAUUUUGGAAAGUCACGUUUGGGUGUGGCUUAUUCACUUUUGGGAUUUUGUUGUAUUUCAAUUAUGUU
rnacentral:lncRNA from 1 species